rnacentral:rRNA from 1 species
UUGACCUCGGAUCAGGUAGGAAUACCCGCUGAACUUAAGCAUAUCAAUAAGCGGAGGAAAAGAAACCAACAGGGAUUGCCCUAGUAACGGCGAGUGAAGCGGCAACAGCUCAAAUUUGAAAUCUGGCCCCAGGCCCGAGUUGUAAUUUGCAGAGGAUGCUUCGGGCGGCAGGCGCUUUCCAAGUCCCCUGGAACGGGGCGCCAGAGAGGGUGAGAGCCCCGUACUGACCGACGCCACGCCUGUGUGAAGCUCCUUCGACGAGUCGAGUAGUUUGGGAAUGCUGCUCAAAAUGGGAGGUAGACCCCUUCUAAAGCUAAAUACCGGCCAGAGACCGAUAGCGCACAAGUAGAGUGAUCGAAAGAUGAAAAGCACUUUGAAAAGAGGGUUAAACAGUACGUGAAAUUGUUGAAAGGGAAGCGCUUGUGACCAGACUUGCGCCGUCGUGAUCAUCUGGUGUUCUCGCCAGUGCACUCGCUUCGGCUCAGGCCAGCGUCGGUUCGCGUGGGGGGAUAAAGGCGCUGGGAACGUGGCUCCCCCGGGAGUGUUAUAGCCCAGCGCGUCAUGCCCCCGCGUGGACCGAGGUUCGCGCUCUGCAAGGACGCUGGCAUAAUGGUUACUAGCGACCCGUCUUGAAACACGGACCAAGGAGUCGAGGUUUUGCGCGAGUGUUUGGGUGCAAAACCCGCACGCGUAAUGAAAGUGAACGCAGGUGGGAGCUUCGGUGCACCACCGACCGAUCCAGAUGUUCUCGGAUGGAUUUGAGUAGGAGCGUAGGGCCUCGGACCCGAAAGAUGGUGAACUAUGCUUGGAUAGGGUGAAGUCAGAGGAAACUCUGAUGGAGGCUCGCAGCGGUUCUGACGUGCAAAUCGAUCGUCAAAUCUGAGCAUGGGGGCGAAAGACUAAUCGAACCAUCUAGUAGCUGGUUACCGCCGAAGUUUCCCUCAGGAUAGCAGUGUUGUCUUCAGUUUUAUGAGGUAAAGCGAAUGAUUAGGGACUCGGGGGCGCCAUAUUGCCUUCAUCCAUUCUCAAACUUUAAAUAUGUAAGAAGCCCUUGUUACUUAACUGAACGUGGGCACUCGAAUGUAUCAACACUAGUGGGCCAUUUUUGGUAAGCAGAACUGGCGAUGUGGGAUGAACCAUACGCGGGGUUAAGGUGCCGGAGUGGACGCUCAUCAGACACCACAAAAGGCGUUAGCACAUCUUGACAGCAGGACGGUGGCCAUGGAAGUCGGAAUCCGCUAAGGACUGUGUAACAACUCACCUGCCGAAUGUGCUAGCCCUGAAAAUGGAUGGCGCUCAAGCGUCCCACCCAUACCUCGCCCUCGGGGUAGAAACGAUGCCCCGAGGAGUAGGCGGCCGCGGGGGUCAGUGACGAAGCCUAGGGCGUGAGCCCGGGUCGAACGUCCCCUGGUGCAGAUCUUGGUGGUAGUAGCAAAUACUUCAAUGAGAACUUGAAGGACCGAAGUGGGGAAAGGUUCCAUAUGAACAGCGGUUGGAUGUGGGUUAGUCGAUCCUAAGCCAUAGGGAAGUUCCGUUUCAAAGGGGCACUCGUGCCCCGUGUGGCGAAAGGGAAGCCGGUUAAUAUCCCGGCACCUGGAUGUGGGUUUUUCGCGGCAACGCAAACGAACGCGGAGACGGCGGCGGGAGCCCCGGGCAGAGUUCUCUUUUCUUCUUAACGGCUCGUCACCCUGGAAACAGUUUGUCUGGAGAUAGGGUUUAAUGGCUGGAAGAGCCCGGCACUUCUGCCGGGUCCGGUGCGCUCCCGACGUCCCUUGAAAAUCCGCGGGAGGGAAUAAUUCUCACGCCAGGUCGUACUCAUAACCGCAGCAG